CCUACGGGAGGCAGCAGUGGGGGAUAUUGCACAAUGGGGGAAACCCUGAUGCAGCGACGCCGCGUGGGCGAAGAAGUAUUUCGGUAUGUAAAGCCCUAUCAGCAGGGAAGAAGAAAUGACGGUACCUGAGUAAGAAGCACCGGCUAAAUACGUGCCAGCAGCCGCGGUAAUACGGGGGAUGCAAGCGUUAUCCGGAUUUAUUGGGUUUAAAGGGUGCGUAGGCUGUGAGGUAAGUCAGCGGUGAAAUGCGUAGAUAUUAGGAGGAACACCAGUGGCGAAGGCGGCUUACUGGACUGUAACUGACGUUGAGGCUCGAAAGCGUGGGGAGCAAACAGGAUUAGAUACCCGGGUAGUC
rnacentral:rRNA from 1 species